CUACGGGAUGCACCAGUGGGGAAUAUUGCACAAUGGAGGAAACUCUGAUGCAGCAACGCCGCGUGGAGGAUGACACUUUUCGGAGCGUAAACUCCUUUUAUAUAGGAAGAAGAUGACGGUACUAUAUGAAUAAGCGCCGGCUAACUCCGUGCCAGCAGCCGCGGUAAUACGGAGGGCGCAAGCGUUACUCGGAAUCACUGGGCGUAAAGAGCGUGUAGGCGGAUUAAAAAGUCAGAAGUGAAAUCCUAUAGCUUAACUAUAGAACUGCUUCUGAAACUCUUAAUCUAGAAUAUGGGAGAGGUAGAUGGAAUUUCUGGUGUAGGGGUAAGAUCCGUAGAGAUCAGAAGGAAUACCGAUUGCGAAGGCGAUCUACUAGAACAUUAUUGACGCUGAGACGCGAAAGCUUGGGGAGCAAACAGGAUUAGAUACCCCCGUAGUC
rnacentral:rRNA from 1 species